AGAUUCAAUUUGCGCAUUCGUACUGAGUUGCCAUCUUAGAGCAACAGCAAUAGAGCAACAGCAAUGAGGAAACAGUCGGUGGUUUUAUGAGAAACGUUUAAUUAAAAAGCAUGGAUUUCAGAAAACAAAGAAAGGCAUGCAACAACAGAAGACAAACAUAAGUACACAGUGAUGGAGACACCAAUGACGGAUCUACAGCGAGGGAGGGAAGUUGAGUCUAGAGAGGACUUGCUCUCUGAAGAGGAGUUUAUGUAGGAGGCACAUUCUGUGGAGAGCAGCCUAACGGCAGCAUUAACCCACUCUGAGAGAAGCAUAUACUGUGCCGGAUAUAUGGUUCAAGCACGCAUCACUGAGGUGGAACAUACCUUUGUCCAGCUGGAGGGUAGCAUGGACAGUAUGAGGAGUGCAUAGAGGUGGGCCGUCUGGAAAGUCAGAGGGAUGAAUUGGUAUGGGAGCUAUUGCACCUGGAGCAGCCUAUGCUGCAGGCUACGGAGGCUCUGAGGGGACAGUUGUUAGAGGCACAUAGAGUCCUUACCAGCAUCCAGUUGGAGUAUAUUAAUCUGCAGAUAGAGGUGGGACAGGUGAAGAGUAAGCUAUUUGUCACGGCCAGACUGUAUUCAGAACCAGCUAACACUGACUGCACAACAGUAUGACGGCCCAGUACAGUCACACAGGAGGAGCUUCAGGCCCAUGUCCAGUCUCAGAGGUAGCCCAGCUUCUGGAGACCCGGAACAACCAGCUGAACAUCCCGUUACCGGGCCAUGAACGACUUCACUGUGCCUGCAGCGGCAGCAUGAGGAAUCUAGAAGGCUGGUAUGAGCCGCGCCUGCUAGCCCUGCUCCGGAAGAGGCAGGGAAGGAUACCCCGAGCCAGUAAAGGCGUGGUGUAACUGUUCUAAUUUCUUCUCGUCAGGAGACUGGACUCAGUUUAGGAGACCAUGAGGAAGCUGAACGCUCAUUUUUAGAAAAAGGCAAAACAGACAAUUGGAAGAAUUGAAAGGACUUUUGAGAGGUAGGAUGUGGUAUGUUAGUGGCCAUGAGAUGUAGAGAACUAGCAGACCAUCCUUUUGACCCUUAAGAAUGAAGGUUUAUCAAGUUAAUAUUAAGACUGUACUACUGUAUAGAUAGGCUGACAUGUACAAUUAACAUUCCUGGGAGUCUCAAGGUGAUUUUAUUACAUGGCUGUAUUGAAGUAAGCAAGACAUUUGCUGAAGGGGAAUCAUAACUUUUCCAUGGAAGUACAGGACAGUUGACAAAACACCUGGAAUACCCACAACCCCUCCAGACCGAACAUGUAUUGUUUGCAAGUGUCCUUGAUUGUGCAUUUAGCCAAUAAUGUCAGUGAUUGGUUUACUUAAACUGCUCUUAAUACAUUAACAAUGCCAUUAUGAUAGUUGGCCUUGGCUGUGAGAUCAGCAUGUCUUAACUGUAAACUGCACUGUGCAUGGAAGGUCUACUGUAAAAACAAUGUUUAUUAUGAAUACACAUACACAGCAAAAAGAAAUCAGAUGCAGAUGUGGCAUACAAAGCAAUUGACAGGGAUACUGGUCACACAAAGGUGAUUGGGGAAAUCUACAAUACAGCUGUCAAGGGAAUGAAAUGAAAAUCUAUGUAAUUUCUUAUGAAAUUAAAUUGUAUAAAUGUUACUAACACAAUGAGCAUCAUU